UUUUUUUUCCUCCAGUUUAACAGACAUGAACCCUCUUUUGUGUUUUCCUGCAGGAAGCAGCCAUGGCCAAACUCGCCGCGUCAGAAGCCGCCACAUUCUGCUCUCAUCAGGCGAUCCAGGUUCUGGGUGGGAUGGGCUACGUGUCAGACAUGCCCGCUGAGAGGCACUACCGCGACGCUCGCAUCACAGAGAUCUACGAGGGCACGAGUGAGAUCCAGAGGCUGGUGAUCGCCGGCCAGAUCCUGAAGGAAUACCAAGCAUAGACGCCGCACGCCACAAUAUGGACGAGUAAUAAUCACGCACACUGGGACAUCACCUCAUUCAUUCAGAUUUAAAAGGAGCCGCGUUGAUCGGGUGAGACCUCAUCUGAGUUUCACGUGAUUGUGCGUGCCCGUUACCUCCGCCGUCUCGUGUGUCGUUGGACUACAGGAGACGCCACGUAAUGUUUGGAAAAGAGCGCCGGUGACUUCAACAGCGCCUUCCUGAAAAGUUGAAUGAUUUUCAAUUUGACGGAUGGAGCGGGUGGAGCGCUCAGAAAAAAGACGCUGUCGUUUGAUUUUUCUCAAGGCGGCCGCUUUCUCCGGAGAACGAUCUCAGACGCUGGCGCUCAGAAAAAAAAAAAAACACCAGGUGGACACGGGGCCUUCGAUGUCAUUUUAUAACACAUCUCUGCAAAGAACUUUAAAAAGCAACUCAUAAAAACGUCUCCUGUCGACCUUAUUUUACUGACUGACAUGUUGAGUAAUUUCAUGUGAAUGUGAAGAGCUGCAGAUUAAAGCGUCACUUUCCCGUUGUGGUUAUAUCCAUAACUUUAGAGCGCUCGCCUUUUAAAUAAAACACAUAGAAAUGUUGUGGUUUGUAAAAGACGAAACAGAAGCUGUGUGGUUGACCUUAAAGGAAGAAUGUGCAACUUUUUUUGAUCCAGUAGAUGUCGCCCAUGAGCUCCAGAAUUAAACCAAAACAAACUGCUGUUAGGCCACGCCUCCUCCAGAGACACACCUCCAACCCCCCCGUCCCCUCACGCUCACAGGAAGGAGUUGUUGAUUAAGAACGCACCAUAAUUAAAAUGGUCCUUAUCUCGA